UACGGGGGGGGCAAGCGUUGUUCGGAAUUACUGGGCGUAAAGGGCUCGUAGGUGGCCAACUAAGUCAUACGUGAAAUCCCUCGGCUUAACCGGGGAACUGCGUCUGAUACUGGAUGGCUUGAGUUUGGGAGAGGGAUGCGGAAUUCCAGGUGUAGCGGUGAAAUGCGUAGAUAUCUGGAGGAACACCGGUGGCGAAGGCGGCAUCCUGGACCAACACUGACACUGAGGAGCGAAAGCCAGGGGAGCAAACAGG
rnacentral:rRNA from 1 species